GGGUGCGAUCAUACCAGCACUAAUGCACCGGAUCCCAUCAGAACUCCGUAGUUAAGCGUGCUUGGGCAAGAAUAGUACUAAGAUGGGCAUGUCAGAAGACUUCCACAGACACAGGCA
rnacentral:rRNA from 1 species